CUUACAUGCAACUGUAUCGUUAUUAAAUCUGAUAAUUUUGAAGUCAUCGAUGCCAUGAAAAAUAUAGGACGCUCUGCCGGAAUGGCGGCGGUAAUUAUUGAUGAUUGUUAUUAUAUGGCUUGCAAUAUUUUUCACGAUGGUUUCAAACAUUGUACUAGGGAAGCAAAUAAGGUUGCUCAUGAGCUUACUAGGUUUGCUAGAUUUUUUUUGACUAAUGACUGGUUUGAGGAGCCCUUGAGUGAAAUUGUACCCCUCCUCAUAAAUGAUGCACUUGUUAUUACAAAUUUAUAA
rnacentral:rRNA from 1 species